UAAUAUUUCUCUUUCUCGCAUAGUCAGACCUUCCUGCACAGCGCUGCGGAUGAGGGUCCGGCUAGUCCACACAACAUUCC